CAUCUAUUAUCAAUUUAUUAUUGUUAAAUAAGCAAUUAAUAAUUGUGAGUAAUAGGUAUUAAUUUAAUUUUACGAUUUGUACAUAAUAUUUUCUUAAAAACAAGAAUACCUAUGACCAAGUAUAUGUCUUAAUUCAAUCAAGCGCAGUAAUUUUGAAAGUUACAACUUGUGUGGCAUAGUCACAAAAUAUGAUACUGUUCAACAGUCUAUAUGCACUCGUGGUUCGUCGGUAAUAUUGUGCAUUUUUGACAAUCACACCAAUUAUUUAUUUGAAGCAAUGAUCUACCAAAGCAUUGGCUAAAUUCAUUAUGGUUAGUAUUAAAAGAAUCAUAGUCAUCGCAGAAAUCUAAUUUCGUUGGUUCAAAUUGAUAUG